ACUCCUACGGGGGGCAGCAGUGAGGAAUAUUGGUCAAUGGGCGGAGGCCUGAACCAGCCAAGUCGCGUGAGGGAAUAAGGCCCUACGGGUCGUAAACCUCUUUUGCCGGGGAGCAAGGGCCGGGACGAGUCCCGGUCCGGAGAGUACCCGGAGAAAAAGCAUCGGCUAACUCCGUGCCAGCAGCCGCGGUAAUACGGAGGAUGCGAGCGUUAUCCGGAUUUAUUGGGUUUAAAGGGUGCGUAGGCGGGCUUUUAAGUCAGCGGUAAAAAUUCGGGGCUCAACCCCGGCCGGCCGUUGAAACUGGG
rnacentral:rRNA from 1 species